rnacentral:rRNA from 1 species
UGCCAGAGGUCACUGCUAUCGGGGUUCGAUUAAGCCGUGCGAGUCGAGAGGGUUCAGACCCUCGGCGGACUGCUCAGUAACACGUGGAUAACCUGCCCUAUGGUGGAGGAUAACCCCGGGAAACUGGGGAUAAUACUCCAUAGAUUAGAGAAACUGGAAUGUUCUUUAAUCGAAAGUUCCGGCGCCAUAGGAUGGAUCUGCGGCCGAUUAGGUAGUUGUUGGGGUAACGGCCCAACAAGCCUGUAAUCGGUACGGGUUGUGGGAGCAAGAGCCCGGAGAUGGAAUCUGAGACACGAUUCCAGGCCCUACGGGGCGCAGCAGGCGCGAAAACUUUACAAUGCAGGAAACUGUGAUAAGGGAACCCCGAGUGCCCGUAUACGCGGGCUGUCCAGGUGUCUAAAACGCAUCUGAAGAAAGGGCCGGGCAAGACCGGUGCCAGCCGCCGCGGUAAUACCGGCGGCUCGAGUGGUGACCACUUUUAUUGGGCUUAAAGCGUUCGUAGCUGGACUCUUAAGUCUCUUGGGAAAUCCCGCGGCUUAACCGUGGGGCGUUUAAGAGAUACUGAGAGUCUAGGAACCGGGAGAGGUAAGAGGUACUUCGGGGGUAGAGGUGAAAUUCUGUAAUCCUCGAGGGACCACCGAUGGCGAAGGCAUCUUACCAGAACGGCUUCGACAGUG